rnacentral:rRNA from 1 species
AUUGAACGCUGGCGGCAGGCCUAACACAUGCAAGUCGAACGAGUGGCGGACGGGUGAGUAAUGUCUGGGAAACUGCCCGAUGGAGGGGGAUAACUACUGGAAACGGUAGCUAAUACCGCAUACCAUCGGAUGUGCCCAGAUGGGAUUAGCUAGUAGGUGGGGUAAAGGCUAACCUAGGCGACGAUCCCUAGCGGGUCUGAGAUGAUGACCAGCCACACUGGAAAUGAGACACGGUCCAGACUCCUACGGGAGGCAGCAGUAGGGAAUAUUACAAAAUGGGCGCAAGCCUGAGACAGACAUGCCGCGUGUAUUAAGACGGCCUUCGGGUUGUAAAGUACUUUCAGCGGGGAGGCGUUACCCGCAGAAGAAGCACCGGCUAACUCCGUGCCAGCAGCCGCGGUAAUUC